UCAUGUCAAUUUAUGGGUACACAUUUUCCGGUGUUUCUUUUUAUGCCGGAGCACAUUAUUUUAUGCUCAUUUGUUCUCAUUGAUCAAACGAGUCACCAACUAGGACGACGCAUUUGCUCGAUAGUUUUCAACCAUAGUAAUUUCAUAAAAAAAAGAUGAGGACACGUCGCAAGAAGAAACGUUCGCUGGUGCUCUUCCCCUGAGUAAUAGGCCAGAACGUCCCAGCUUUGAAGAGAACUACAAAUCCGUUUUAUUCUACGAACAUGUAAAAUGGCGGUGAUGUUAUUAGAUUAAGUAACGUUGGUAAAUAAAUUAUUACCGUGAA